CCUGGAUAAAGCAAUCUGAGAGAGGACUCAGUGUAUAGCCAUGGGACCACACGCAUCUGCUCGCACUGACUCAACAAAGCUUUGCCAAGAUUCUCUCUGACUUUCUGUCCUUUUGUUAAAAGUCCAGUGAUAAAAGAGAAGAUGGCAGAAAAUAGCAGACUAACUGCCAGACUAAUAUUCCAAUGAAUAUUCCUUGAAAGGACUGAUGCUGAAGCUCCAAUACUUUGGCCACCUGAUGGGAAGAACUGACUCUUUAGAAA